rnacentral:rRNA from 1 species
CCUACGGGCGGCAGCAGUGAGGAAUAUUGGUCAAUGGACGAGAGUCUGAACCAGCCAAGUAGCGUGAAGGAUGACUGCCCUAUGGGUUGUAAACUUCUUUUAUAUGGGAAUAAAAUGUUCCACGUGUGGGAUUUUGUAUGUACCAUAUGAAUAAGGAUCGGCUAACUCAGUGCCAGCAGCCGCGGUAAUACGGAGGAUCCGAGCGUUAUCCGGAUUUAUUGGGUUUAAAGGGAGCGUAGGUGGAUUGUUAAGUCAGUUGUGAAAGUUUGCGGCUCAACCGUAAAAUUGCAGUUGAAACUGGCAGUCUUGAGUACAGUAGAGGUGGGCGGAAUUCGUGGUGUAGCGGUGAAAUGCUUAGAUAUCACGAAGAACUCCGAUUGCGAAGGCAGUUCACUGGACUGCAACUGACACUGAGGCUCGAAAGUGUGGGUAUCAAACAGGAUUAGAUACCCUAGUAGUC